rnacentral:misc_RNA from 1 species
GAUGAAGAACGCAGCAAAAUGCGAUAAGUAAUGUGAAUUGCAGAAUUCAGUGAAUCAUCGAAUCUUUGAACGCACAUUGCGCCCGCUGGUAUUCCGGCGGGCAUGCCUGUUCGAGCGUCAUUUCAACCCUCAAGCCCCCGGGUUUGGUGUUGGGGAUCGGCUCUGCCCUUCUGGGCGGUGCCGCCCCCGAAAUACAUUGGCGGUCUCGCUGCAGCCUCCAUUGCGUAGUAGCUAACACCUCGCAACUGGAACGCGGCGCGGCCAUGCCGUAAAACCCCAACUUCUGAAUGUUGACCUCGGAUCAGGUAGGAAUACCCGCUGAAUUUGAGCAUAUCAAUAAGCGGAGGA